UAUAUGUAUAUAUCAUACAUUACAUGCAAGAAUAUCACAAUACAACCCAAAACGUUUAUGGGUUCUGGCACAUCAAGAAUAAUGCAAUGCAAACAUUUAUAUUAUUUUUACAUACAACUGUCUUAAACAGUCAAAUAGGAAUGAUGUAAAAAGAAUUUAGUGAUGUGCUUACUGCUUGAUAUUCUAGUCAACAUUUUGAUCUGCAUAUGAGACCAUCAUGAUGAAUUAGGUAAUUCUUUUGAAAGCUACAUCUGAACAUCUUGUCCUACCUGGAAAAGUGCAUAAUGAUAAAAUGAUAGCUUAGUCUUUACUGAAAGUGAAGGUACUUAUGUUUUCAAUAAUAAAAAGACAGUAUGAUGGGGUUAGUACCUUAAUUAAAACAGAAUAAACAGAAUAUUGAAGGAAAAUUUCCAGACAUCACAAUGAAAAGGAUGUUGUAUGUUUUUAAAUAUUAUUCUUUGUUUAUCAAUACAAUGAGCAAUAUAUGUAUUUGUCUCUCAUUUUCCUGGUAGGGGCAUAUAGAUGAAACAGAUUCCCAGGGAAGUAUUUUUGAAAGGUAGAUGUGGGAAAAGGUCUGAAAGACAAGCACAAGAAACACGUUCUGCUCAUUGCUAAAUCUAUGGAUUUCACACUAUGUUUUGAAAAAUGUCGUUAUGUUUUCAUUUAUUUGGAUACAAAACCUGUCAAAUAUGAGCUCUCCUAGAACUUUCUUAUGCGACUGGUUGGCAUUUCCAUUUGCUCUUUAGGUAUUUGGACAGAUGUAAAUUAAAAUGUUAUCCUGCCAUGGAGCAGGACUCCAGCUCUCAUUUUACCCUGUUGUUUUCAAAAAAAGAGAUCAAAUUCUGCUCUUCUGUCAGACCAGGAAUGCAUGCGAGAGAUGCAUGGGUAGAGGACUGAUUGGUCAUAACUGAUUGGUCAUAACUUGAAGCUACAGAGUAAAGAAGGAACAAUUCUGUUGCCCUGCCUAUUGCUGGGGAGGAAGGUAGUUUGUGGGCAUGAAUCUGUUUAGAAUAUGUGAAUUUAAUCAUGACAGAUUCUAACCAAGCAGAUUCUUAACAACAGUUUUAUUUUAUUUUAUUUUUUUUGCCACUGAAAUAUUAUUGGUAUAUCUUAAAAUUAAAUGUUAUUAGUUGACUCAAUUUCAAAAGUAAUUAAAAACUGACAGCAUACCUUCUCUUUUCUAGCAGAAAUUAUCAUUGGAUAGCAAAAAUGUGUCAUGAAUAUUAAAAAAAAAUUGAUGACAAGUGACAUAGCACCUAAUGUUUAAAUUCACACUUUAAAAUAAAACUUGUUUAUUUGCUACAUUUGAUAGAUUUUGAAGUUUCUUUUUAUAAAGCUCUGUUUGCAAAAUGGUUUCUUUCUUCAUAUAACAGCAAAAUAAAAACAAGAUCACUUGUCAUUUUGAUUAGAAUUAUUAUUUACUUAGGUGAGAAGUUCAGGAUAUGUUCUGCAAAAAGAGGAAUGACUUAGUGGAAACUCAUUUCUUCUUUAAUUCCCAUUAAACUAAUGAGAAUUUAUAUGCCAGUAUAAAGUGUAUGAUAAUUAUUAAUACAUUUCCAUUAAUAUGAAAACAUAAAUUCCCAUUCAUAUCCAUAUACAUACCUAUACUUCUUUUAUCUUUAAUAAAUUCCCAUAAAACAAGGGCAUAUGUGGAUAUGUGUGUAUUUUUUGGCAUAUAAUGGGAAUAUAUACACUAAUAUUUAUAACUUAAUUCCUAUUAAAUUGAUGAGAACUUAUAUCCCAACAUUCAAAGUGCUAUAGUCAACACAGACAUUUUAUGAUAGGAUUAUUAGAUUAUGAAUAGUAAUAUUAAAUUCUAUGGAUUAAUAUUUUAUGAUGGUUCAUAUUUUCAGUGAAGUUGAUGGUUUGAGUAGAGAUAAUAGAAUGAUUUGAACUUCAAACUAAGAUUGAAAUAAAAAAGGUAUGGUUGAAAGCAUGUUGAAAUUUCCAUUUUAUUUCCAGAAUAAAAUGUAAAUUAUGAGUUUACAAGUAACUUAUUGAUUCUAGACUUCCAAUUAAGGAGGUAAACCCUUGCUAAUUUUUGUUCAUUGAUUACUUUUUAUUUUGAUCAAAUUUACCACAUGGUUUCUAAGGUUUUAGUUAACCAUGUUGAGCAUAUAUGUGAAUGUGCAUGUAUUUGGCAUAUUGUGUGUACAUGUAUGUGUGUGCAUGAGUGCACUCGUUCAUGCACAUGUAUGUGUUUGCACAUGCCUCUGGGCACGUGUCUGUAUCUGUGUGCAUGCAUGUGCAUGUAUGUGUGUACUGCAUGUGCAAGUAUGAGUGGAUGUGCAUGUAUAUGUGCAUGCAUGUGUGUGUGUAUCCGUGUCUGUGUGCUCAAACAUGUGUGAGUGUUUUGGAGAAUGGUGGUAGGUAUUUUAAGGUAUGUUUAAGAUGCGUAGCACCUGAUUGAUAAUGGAAAAUUCAACCAAACCAGCCAUUUGAAAAGACAACAGUGGUCCUUGGAUUCUUGAGAGGCUGCAAAGCUGUUUCCACUGGUCAGAGGGGACAUGGCAUGGGUUUAUCCGGCUUUCGACUAAAUAAAUAUGUUUAAGAAGAUAUAUAGAGCUAUUUUUCCAAUGAAUGUAGAUGUCUUUGAGAAAUCAAAUUCACAUUUAAAAGUGUUAUCAACAUUUUAAUUUCCAUUAAGGAUUUUUCUCAAACCAUGGGCAUUAAAAUUCCAAUGAUAUAUGUAUGUGAAUCUCAAUAUUAUGAGAUCUAUGCUUCAAAAUAUAAAGGUACAGAGAGGUCAAAACCCCUAUUCUAUUUUAGCAUUGAAGAAUCAGAAUGAUUUAUGUUAUAGGUCCAACCCAACAUUAAAUUUUCCUAUUUUUUAUGAGCAUAACUGUGCCUUAUGCAAAAGCAGAGCCAGAAGCAACACUUCUCAUUUUUAAAGCGAUGCCAGAAGUACAUAACCUUUAGCUGGCAUUGCCAAUUCCUGGAUUUGCCUUCGUUAACUCUCAGUUCUGCUUGAAGUACCAGGCGGCCUUCCUCUCAUGGUGCCUGUAAUUGCUCAGUUUCAAGCUGUCUCUAAGUGAGAAAUUAGCUAGGCAGACAACAGCCAGUGUGAGGCUUCAACUCUCUUCAGAAUCAAUAAGAAAACAAGCAGCCAAACUGAUCUCUCAAUUUUCUGCUGGAAGCUUCAGUCUCAUUAUGAGAAAAAGGAUACUUUAAAAUAGAGAUAUCCAUGUUUUUAUAUGCUCAUCCAUGCACAUGUGCCAAGCUGUCAGCAUCCUGUCCCUGCAACCUCAACAGACCACUUCACUUCUUAGAUUUCACUGGGAUUUAUUGUAGUGAAUGUUGCUGACAAUGA
rnacentral:lncRNA from 1 species